UACGUAGGUGGCAAGCGUUGUCCGGAUUUACUGGGUGUAAAGGGCGUGCAGCCGGAGAGACAAGUCAGAUGUGAAAUCCACAGGCUCAACCUGUGAACUGCAUUUGAAACUGUUUCCCUUGAGUAUCGGAGAGGUCAUCGGAAUUCCUAGUGUAGCGGUGAAAUGCGUAGAUAUUAGGAAGAACACCAGUGGCGAAGGCGGCCGCCUGGCCUGUUACUGACGCUGAGGCACGAAAGCGUGGGGAGCAAAUAGG
rnacentral:rRNA from 1 species